rnacentral:misc_RNA from 1 species
GGAAGUAAAAGUCGUAACAAAGUUUCCGUAGGUGAACCUGCGGAGGGAUCAUUAAUGAGUUGUCAUGGGGUUCGAUGCUGGCAGCCAGUUUUUGGAUGCAUGUGCUUGCCCUAACAAUCAUCUUCUUCCAAACACCUGUGCACAUUUUUGAGGGAGUCUUGAGUUGGUUGCCGCUCUUGGGUGAUUUUCUCACAUUCCCUUAAAUCAUUAUACGCUAUUAACAAUGUUGAACGUGCUCUGUGCCGCAAGGCCAUUAAUAUAAUACAACUUUUAACAACGGAUCUCUUGGCUCUC